GACGAACGCUGGCGGCGUGCCUAACACAUGCAAGUCGAACGGAGAAUUAGCAAUAAUUCUUAGUGGCGAACGGGUGAGUAACGCGUAGACAACCUACCCUUUAGAUGGGGACAACACCGCGAAAGUGGUGCUAAUACCGAAUAUUGCUUGAGAAGCGCAUGCUUUUCAAACUAAAGAUGGCCUCUAUUUAUAAGCUAUCGCUAAAGAAUGGGUCUGCGUCUGAUUAGCUAGUUGGUGAGAUAAAAGCUCACCAAGGCAACGAUCAGUAGCCGGUCUGAGAGGAUGAACGGCCACACUGGGACUGAGACACGGCCCAGACUCCUACGGGAGGCAGCAGUGGGGAAUCUUCCGCAGUGGACGAAAGUCUGACGGAGCAACGCCGCGUGAGUGAUGAAGGUUUUCGGAUCGUAAAACUCUGUUGUUAAGGACGAAUGUAUAGAUUGUGAAUAAUGGUUUAUAAUGACGGUACUUAACGAGGAAGCCACGGCUAACUACGUGCCAGCAGCCGCCAGUAA
rnacentral:rRNA from 1 species